rnacentral:lncRNA from 1 species
UAUGUAUAGGUUAUUUUGAGGCAACGAGGGGAUAUGUGAUUUAUUCACCGAGGCGCGUAGCGCCGAGGUGAAUAAACACAUAUCCCCGAGGUGCCUCAAAAUAACGUACUUAUUUUUCACACUGUGAGGUCGCGUUAAUGAGUCAGAAUAUCAAUAAUUCUUAAUGCCAUAUUGCCUUUGUUAUGUUGUUUUUUUUCUUCAUUUUUUUGUGCUGCAAAGACAUUGCAGGUGAAUAUUAGAGGGGAUUAUUAAUUGCAGGUGAAUAUUAGAG